AGCGCUGAUCUGAAUCAGCGCUGAGUGCAACCCCCAGUACCUGAUCCGGCUGGGGUUC
rfam:Burkholderiales bacterium JOSHI_001 chromosome, whole genome shotgun sequence.